rnacentral:rRNA from 1 species
UGGGGAAUAUUGCACAAUGGGCGCAAGCCUGAUGCAGCCAUGCCGCGUGUAUGAAGAAGGCCUUCGGGUUGUAAAGUACUUUCAGCGGGGUGGAAGGGAGUAAAGUUAAUACCUUUGCUCAUUGACGUUACCCGCAGAAGAAGCACCGGCUAACUCCGUGCCAGCAGCCGCGGUAAUACGGAGGGUGCAAGCGUUAAUCGGAAUUACUGGGCGUAAAGCGCACGCAGGCGGUUUGUUAAGUCAGAUGUGAAAUCCCCGGGCUCAACCUGGGAACUGCAUCUGAUACUGGCAAGCUUGAGUCUCGUAGAGGAUGGUAGAAUUCCAGGUGUAGCGGUGAGAUGCGUAGAGAUCUGGAGGAAUACCGGUGGCGAAGGCGGCCCCCUGGACGAAUACUAACGCUCAGGUGCGAAAGCGUGGGGAGCAAACAUG